CAUUCUUACGGCGUGGGUUCUAUAAAAAAAAAUUUCUUUUUUGUUUAUUUCGUUUAUGCAUGCUUACAAUUGUGGUUGUCGUAUUUGUUUUGCAGGAUAUAAUAGAAAUGUGCGCAGUCGAUUGUUGCUCUUCUCCUUUGAAAACUGGGUUGAUUGAUAAAUAUCUGAGAUUUGCUUCUCUUUUUUCAAUGGCUAUUCCCACUAAACCGCUUCGAUUAUGGAAAAGUGAGAAAUCCACCUAUUGUGACUUGUCAUUGUUAAGAAAUAUGAAAUCUGCUUACGUAUGAGCUCACAUGCAUAAGAUGUGAGCUAGAUUCUCGUGCUAAUAUUGUUGGCCUUUGUGAAAGAUUAGGACACGAAAGUGGUCUUGAAUAUCUCCAAUGAUUGGUGAUUGCUUGACAAUGUUAGUAUUGCAAGUGGUGUAGAAAACGUGAUAUGUCGAACAAGUGUAUGGUAAAAGGACUACACGAGUUGUACUUGGUGUUAGUAACUUCCUGGAUCUUAAUACUGAAUGUUCAUUCAAGAUCUCUUCUUGGUGUUAGGAAAUUCGCAAUAUCUAUUUGUGUUUU